rnacentral:rRNA from 1 species
UACGGAGGGAGCUAGCGUUAUUCGGAAUUACUGGGCGUAAAGCGUACGUAGGCGGUUAUUCAAGUCAGAGGUGAAAGCCCGGGGCUCAACCCCGGAACUGCCUUUGAAACUAGGUAGCUAGAAUCUUGGAGAGGUCAGUGGAAUUCCGAGUGUAGAGGUGAAAUUCGUAGAUAUUCGGAAGAACACCAGUGGCGAAGGCGACUGACUGGACAAGUAUUGACGCUGAGGUACGAAAGCGUGGGGAGCAAACAGG